ACAGCCUCGUCCCUCCCAGCCACAAAUCGGUGUUCAAUUUUGGGAAUAUCUUGGUAGGUUUGACCAAUCAUAGCCCGUGUCGCUCCCAAGAAUUGACCAGGAAAGAGCCAAUCAGAUUUCGCAGAACUACCAAGAAUCAAGUGACGGAAUUAUCCAAUCAGAUCUCGUAGAACUACCAAGAAUACUGAGCGUUUUCAACGACGAGAGAUUAUUGAAUCUUGAAGUCUUUUGGUUUAUUUCGAAAUACAAUCAUCUGAAGAUUAUCCUGUGUAUCAUUCAUCGGGUCAAAAUUUGAUACAUCAUAGCCCGUGUCGCUACCAAGAAUUGAUCAGGAAAGAGCCAAUCAGAUUUCGCAGAACUACCAAGAAUCAAGUGACGGAAUUAUCCAAUCAGAUCUCGUAGAACUACCAAGAAUACUGAGCAUUUUCAACGACAAGAGAUUAUUGAAUCUUGAAGUCUUUUGGUUUAUUUCGAAAUACACUCAUCUGAAGGCAUGCGAAGGCACAGGACCAAUACCUUCCCAGCUGUUAAACCUUCCAUCCUUGCAUCCUUCCCAUCUUCCUGCUGUGUAUGGGGGACCUUUGGCGUAUGAGGCGAACGUGAUAACCACUACACUACGGAAACAUUUCAUGAACUGCUGCAACCGCUUAUCAAAUACAAUGAACUUCAAAUACAUACAAAUAAUGCACUAUAAUGCAGUUAUGCGAUAUAUGCAAUAUGAUCUAAGAAGUAUAAAAUAUAUAUAUAUAUUUGUAACGGAUUGUUAUUUUUAAUAAAUUAAAAAAAAAAUGUUUCCACCCAGUCUCGAACCGGGGACCUUUCACGUGUUAGGCGAACGUGAAAACCACUACACUACGGAAACACAUCUUGUUACACGCUCCACUAUUCAUACAGUAGCUUACUAACAUAUAU